rnacentral:miRNA from 1 species
AGGACGAGCUAGCUGAGUGCUG